UGAGGAAUAUUGGGCAAUGGACGCAAGUCUGACCCAGCCAUGCCGCGUGAGUGAAGAAGGUUUUCGGAUUGUAAAGCUCUUUCGGAUGUGACGAUGAUGACGGUAACAUCUAAAGAAGCCCCGGCAAACUUCGUGCCAGCAGCCGCGGUAAUACGAAGGGGGCGAGCGUUGUUCGGAAUUACUGGGUGUAAAGGGAGCGUAGGCGGGAAGGUAAGUUGGGUGUGAAAACUAUUGGCUCAACCAAUAGAUUGCACUCAAAACUACUUUUCUUGAGUGAAGUAGAGGCAGGCGGAAUUCCUAGUGUAGCGGUGAAAUGCUUAGAUAUCACGAAGAACUCCAAUUGCGAAGGCAGCUUGCUGGACUGUAACUGACGCUGAUGCUCGAAAGUGUGGGUAUCAAACA
rnacentral:rRNA from 1 species